rnacentral:rRNA from 1 species
UUAAAUUAAUUAUUGAUUUUAAAAUUUAUUUUUUUAAUUAUUUAAAAUAUUAUUUAUUUUUAUUAAUUUUAUGAAAAAUAUUAUAUUAAUUAUAAUUAAUUUGUAUUGUGAAAGAUUUUUUAUAAAUAUAAAAAAGAAAAAUUUAAAAUUUGUACCUUGUGUAUCAGGGUUAAUUAAUUUAUAAUUAAAUUAUUAAUAAUCUCGAAUUUAAAAGAGUUAAUUAAUUAUAAAUUUUAUUGUUUCAUAAAUAUUUAUAAUAAUUAAUUAGUAAUGAAAUGUUAUUCGUUUUUAAAUAUAUCUAGUUUUUAAAGAAAAAAAUUUAAUUUUAUUUUUAAUAAUUAAAAUUUUAUAUUUAAAAUUAUUUAUUAUUAAAAUUUUAUAUUAUAAGGGAUAAGCUUUAUUUAGUAGAUAAUUAAAAGUAAAUAAAAUAAUAAUAAUUUAUAAGAUUAGAAAUUUUUAUUUAUAGAAAAAUGUUAUAAUUAAUUAUUAAAAAUUAUUAUUUUUAUUUAUUUUAAAUUUUUUAUUUAAAUAUAUUUAAAAAUUUAAUUAAAUUAUCAAUAAUGAUUAAAUUAGUAUAUAAAUAAUUUAUUUAAUAAUAAUUAAAUUAGGUAAAUUUAAGGAAUUCGGCAAAAUUAUUAUUCACCUGUUUAAUAAAAACAUGUCCUUAUGAUUAUAAUUUAAGGUCUAAUCUGCCCACUGAGGUUUUAAAUGGCCGCAGUAUUUUGACUGUGCUAAGGUAGCAUAAUAAAUAGUUUUUUAAUUGGAAGCUAGAAUGAAUGAUUGGAUGAGAUAUAAACUGUCUCAAAUUUAUUUUUAUAAAAUUUUAUUUUUAAGUUAAAAAGCUUAAAUAAUUUUAAAAGACGAGAAGACCCUAUAGAGUUUUAUAAAAUUAUUUAAUUAAAUUAUAAUUAAAUUAUUUAAUUAAAUAAUUUUAUUUUGUUGGGGUGAUAAAAAAAUUUAAUAAACUUUUUUUUAUUGAAACAUUAAUAUAUGAAUUUUUGAUCCAUUAUUAAUGAUUAAAAGAAUAAAUUACCUUAGGGAUAACAGCGUAAUUUUUUUUUAGAGUUCAAAUUAAAAAAAAAGAUUGCGACCUCGAUGUUGGAUUAAAGUAAAAUUUUGGUGUAGAAGCUAAAAUUUUAAGUCUGUUCGACUUUUGAAUCUUUACAUGAUCUGAGUUUAAACCGGUGUGAGCCAGGUUGGUUUCUAUCUUUAAAAAAUUAAAAUAUUUUAGUACGAAAGGACCAAGUAUUUAAUAAAUUAUUUUUUUAAUGAAUAUUAAU